AUGGAUCUACUAUGACGUGAAACUGAAUGGAUUAAAUGACAAAGGUGUAGCACUUAGCAGUGUAUUAAUCAUGGUGACACUAUUCCUAAGCUAUUUAUAUGUGACUGGGAUUUGGAACUAAAUACAAAAAAAGCAGAUUGAGAGUCCCCAAACAUUCAGUAAACAUUCAGGGUCCCCACUGUAAAGGUCACUGGGGGUCAUGUUUCCAGCAGAGGGAGACUGAGGCCCAGAGAGAUAAGCGGUGUUUCCGUCACAGGCCUGGGGUGGAGGCAGAAGCAGAUGGCUUCCUCGAGUCCAGCUCAGCAUCCUCCUCUGAGGACAGCAACAGGAGCGCCUUUUCCGGGAGAGAAUGAGGAUGAACUAAGGAACGCGCAGCGCUUUGUGGUCAGCUGACUUCAACCCAUGGCAUUAG
rnacentral:lncRNA from 1 species